CCUACGGGAGGCAGCAGUGAGGAAUAUUGGUCAAUGGCCGCAGGGCUGAACCAGCCAAGUCGCGUGAGGGAUGACGGUCCUAUGGAUUGUAAACCUCUUUUGUCAGGGAGCAAAGGGCGCCACGUGUGGCGCUUUGCGAGUACCUGAAGAAAAAGCAUCGGCUAACUCCGUGCCAGCAGCCGCGGUAAUACGGAGGAUGCGAGCGUUAUCCGGAUUUAUUGGGUUUAAAGGGUGCGCAGGCGGAAUGUCAAGUCAGCGGUAAAAUUUCGGGGCUCAACCCCGUCGUGCCGUUGAAACUGGAGUUCUUGAGUGAGCGAGAAGUAUGCGGAAUGCGUGGGGUAGCGGUGAAAUGCAGAGAGAUCACGCAGAACUCCGAUUGCGAAGGCAGCAUACCGGCGCUCAACUGACGCUCAUGCACGAAAGCGUGGGUAUCGAACAGGAUUAGAUACCCGAGUAGUC
rnacentral:rRNA from 1 species